GAUGAACGCUGGCGGCGUGCCUAAUACAUGCAAGUCGAGCGGACAGACGAGGAUCUUGCUCGGCUGACGUUAGCGGCGGGCGGGUGAGUAACACGUGGAUACCCUACCUAUAAGACUGGGAUAACUUCGGGAAACCGGAGCUAAUACCGGAUAAUAUAUUGAACCGCGUGGUUCAUUAGAAAAAGACGGUUUUGCUGUCACUUAUAGAGGGAUCCGCGCCGCAUUAGCUAGUUGGUACGGUAACGGCCUACCAAGGCUACGAUGCGUAGCCGACCUGAGAGGGUGAUCGGCCACACUGGAACUGAGACACGGUCCAGACUCCUACGGGAGGCAGCAGUAGGGAAUCUUCCGCAAUGGGCGAAAGCCUGACGGAGCAACGCCGCGUGAGUGAUGAAGGUCUUCGGAUCGUAAAACUCUGUUAUUAGGGAAGAACAAAUGUGUCAGUAACUAUGCACGUCUUGACGGUACCUAAUCAGAAAGCCACGGCUAACUACGUG
rnacentral:rRNA from 1 species